rnacentral:rRNA from 1 species
CAGUGCUCGCAAGAGAACCGGAACACAGGUGCUGCAUGGCUGUCGUCAGCUCGUGUCGUGAGAUGUUGGGUUAAGUCCCGCAACGAGCGCAACCCUUGUCAUUAGUUGCUACGCAAGAGCACUCUAAUGAGACUGCCGGUGACAAACCGGAGGAAGGUGGGGAUGACGUCAAGUCCUCAUGGCCCUUAUGGGUAGGGCUUCACACGUCAUACAAUGGUCGGGACAGAGGGUCGCCAACCCGCGAGGGGGAGCCAAUCUCAGAAACCCGAUCGUAGUCCGGAUCGCAGUCUGCAACUCGACUGCGUGAAGUCGGAAUCGCUAGUAAUCGCGGAUCAGAAUGUCGCGGUGAAUACGUUCCCGGGUCUUGUACACACCGCCCGUCACACCAUGGGAGUGGGUUUCACCAGAAGUAGGUAGCCUAACCGUAAGGAGGGCGCUUACCACGGU